GGAGGAGGAGGUGCAAGAGAUGCAAGAGAGAAACUUAGAAUGAGAUAGAGGUAGAUAGAGAGAGAGAAGUGAGGCUGGAAAUGCACACGGCUAUCGUAAACACACAGAGAUACUGCCCUUUCCUACCUGAAGUGGAUGAAAGUUAUCGGAGAAAGCCAAUUGGAAUUAGACUUCUUUCUCACUCUUGCACGUAAAUAAUGCAGAAAUCGGACGCAUGUGUCGCACACCUACACGUUAGUGGAAAUGAGAGAAAGAGAAAGAGGGAGAGAGAGAGAGAGAGAGAGAGA
rnacentral:lncRNA from 1 species